ensembl:misc_RNA 7SK 7SK RNA
GGAUGUGAGGGAAAACUGUCUGUGACAUCUGUUAUCCCUCUUAAUCUCCAGGGUUGAUUUGGAGAAUUGGAUGUCUAGGUAUGGGUCCCUUUCCUCCUUACCAGUCCAUGUAUGACCCUCUCAACACUUUGUACUUGAUCAAAACCAUGACCUUUUCUUGAUGGAAGAGGACCCAUCUUCACCAAAGGUCUAUGAGCCCAUCUCUGCUAGGACCUCCAAACAAGCUCUCAAGAAGCAUUUUUAUACCAAACUACUUAAAAUGAGUCUGGUCUGAUAAAUUCCAGCAUUACCCAGUUGAUAUGCAAGAGGCAAUCUUCCCUUU